rnacentral:SRP_RNA from 1 species
UGUUGGUUCUCCCGCAACGCUACUCUGUUUACCGAGGUCAGGUCCGGAAGGAAGCAGCCAGAGCAGACGACGUGUGCCGGGAUGUAGCUGGCAGGG